rnacentral:rRNA from 1 species
UCUAGUUUGGUGAUAGACCCGCUCGCCAUCUUGUGGAUUUCUCAUUCAUUUUGUUGUUUACUCAAUGAGAUGAAUGACCACUCCGUCACUGAGAGCAAAUUGGAGUGCUCAAAGCAGGCUUGAUAGCUUUGAACAUUUUAGCUUGGAAUGACAAGAUAAGACUUUUGUUUUAUUUUGUUGGUUAUGAAAUGAAAGUAAUGAUUAACAGGAACAGUUGCGGGGGUACUCGUAUUGAAAGGUCAGAGGUGAAAUUCUUGGAUUCUUUCAAGACGAACGACUGCGAAAGCAUUUACCAAGGAUGUUUUCAUUAAUCAAGAACGAAAGCUCGGGGAUCGAAGAUGAUUAGAUACCAUCGUAGUCCGACGCCAUAAACGAUGCCGACUCGGGAUUGGUUUGUAUUUAUAAUAAAAAAAUCAAAUCAGCACCGUAUGAGAAAUCAAAGUCUUUGGGUUCCGGGGGGAGUAUGGUCGCAAGGCUGAAACUUAAAGGAAUUGACGGAAGGGCACACCAGAGGUGGAGCCUGCGGUUUAAUUUGACUCAACACGGGGAAACUUACCAGGUCCAGACAUAAUGAGGAUUGACAGUUUGAAAGCACUUUCUUGAUCUUAUGGGUGGUGGUGCAUGGCCGUUCUUAGUUGGUGGAGUGAUUUGUCUGGUUGAUUCCGAUAACGAACGAGACGGGGAAAGCUAACUAGUUUGUUCAUUAACUUGCGUUAGUGAAAACUUCUUUGCUUGACAACUUG